CUUGUCAAAAUCCACUCUAUUCGUUGUCGAUACUCCCCCGAUCUCUCGGGCGGAAGCUACCUACCACGAAUGAUAUUAACGCGCGUCAAUCGUUCGCUACACUCUAUGCCUCAAUCUCUCGACCGGAGACACUCGAGCGCUCAAUGCAAUUCAGUUCAGAAAUUAAAUCAAUACUCUCGCACGUGACUUAACUCGAAAUCAUUACAACACUAAUGAAGGAUUAUAAAGCAUUAUGCAUCGAAUUGCAUUAAACCAACACUAUGAAAAGAGUAGAUUCUUACACAUAUAGCCGAUUACAACUGAUCUAUCUACAUCCUAGACUAUCCUAGAUCCUACCUCCGAAGAAGCUUAGCUCCUCAUCUCCCUUUGUUCGCGUCCGAGCUUCAAUGUCAUGGCUUGUGAAUCCAUGCUAUCCCUGAGCUUGGAGCUAUCCUCUGGAGUCUUGAAUCCCAAUCUUGAAGUUCCAAACCCAGAAUGUAGAUCAAAUUUGCAGAAUUUUCCAACCCGAAAACAGAAUUAUGCAGAAACUAUAUAUACAGAAUGCAACCAUGCCGCGCGCCAGAUCUAUCACGCCGCGCGUGGUUGCAGAUCCAUCAACUACGCCGCGCGUGAUAACGGUAUCACGCGGCGCGUGAUCAAGUCAGAGAGCAAUCUUCUUCUUGAAC
rnacentral:lncRNA from 1 species